GACGUAGGGUCCGAGCGUUUUUUGUCCGGAGUUACUGGGCGUAAAGGGCGCGUAGGCGGCUUCGUGCGUCACCCGUGAAAGCCCCCCGGCUCAACCGGGGAGGGUCGUGUGAAACGGCGGAGCUGGAGGCAGCGAGAGGCUGGUGGAAUUCCGGAGUAGUGGUGAAAUGCGUAGAGAUCGGGAGGAACACCGGUGGCGAAGGCGGCCAGCUGGCGCUGACCUGACGCUGAGGCGCGAAGGCGUGGGGGAGCGAACGGGG
rnacentral:rRNA from 1 species